UACGAAGGGUGCAAGCGUUACUCGGAAUUACUGGGCGUAAAGCGUGCGUAGGCGGUUUGUUAAGUCUGUCGUGAAAGCCCCGGGCUCAACCUGGGAAUGGCGGUGGAUACUGGCAGGCUAGAGUACGGUAGAGGAUGGUGGAAUUCCCGGUGUAGCAGUGAAAUGCGUAGAGAUCGGGAGGAACAUCUAUGGCGAAGGCAGCCAUCUGGACCAGUACUGACGCUGAGGCACGAAAGCGUGGGGAGCAAACAGGAUUAGAUACCCUGGUAGUCCACGCCCUAAACGAUGCGAACUGGACGUUGGGCUCAAUUGAGAGCUCAGUGUCGAAGCUAACGCGUUAAGUUCGCCGCCUGGGGAGUACGGUCGCAAGACUGAA
rnacentral:rRNA from 1 species